CCUACGGGAGGCAGCAGUAGGGAAUCUUCGGCAAUGGACGAAAGUCUGACCGAGCAACGCCGCGUGAGUGAAGAAGGUUUUCGGAUCGUAAAACUCUGUUGUUAGAGAAGAACGUUGUGUAGAGUGGAAAAUUACACAAGUGACGGUAUCUAACCAGAAAGGGACGGCUAACUACGUGCCAGCAGCCGCGGUAAUACGUAGGUCCCGAGCGUUGUCCGGAUUUAUUGGGCGUAAAGGGCGCGCAGGCGGCUUCUUAAGUCUGAUGUGAAAUCUCGCAGCUCAACUGCGAGCGGUCAUUGGAAACUGGGGAGCUUGAGUACAGAAGAGGAGAGUGGAAUUCCACGUGUAGCGGUGAAAUGCGUAGAGAUGUGGAGGAACACCAGUGGCGAAGGCGGCUCUCUGGUCUGUAACUGACGCUGAGGCGCGAAAGCGUGGGGAGC
rnacentral:rRNA from 1 species